AUAGCAAUUCAUCUUAAAGUUAAAGGUGGUUUUUGUUCUUCGAAGCGUAUACCAAACGCAAAAGCUUGAUAUAUUCUAUGGCAUUGGUUAUUAAAUGUUGUACAAUGUUUACAUUUACCAUUUUUCCUCUGUAUUACCAUUUCCGAAAAAAACGUUCAAUAAUAAUCAUGAAAACGUUUUGUAUAUAAAAUAACUGCAAUAUUCAUUGAAUAAAAAGAUUUGAUAUUUGCUUUAAACUUUAUAAAUUGUAUAAAGUUAUAAAUACAUCCACAUUUCGACUAAGUAGUAUUAUAGUAAUAAAGGACGAAACGGUCGUAAUGUAAAAUGUUAUUCAAGCAAUGCUAUUACCUCUAUCAAUGCUUGAAACAUCUUGGCUAUCAAGAACUGUGUCUUCAUCAUCGGUGGUUCGACGACGUUCGUCUCUACGAUCUCUACGUUGAAGUGGAGGACGUUCUUGUCUACCACCCAUAUAUCUCGGAUUUCCGGUACCUCCUUGAUGGCCACCUCUUGGAGGUAGAUCUCUUACGCGAUCUUCACUACCGUCUAAGCGCAUGCUGAUCAAUAUAGAAAUGAACACAUUGGCAACAAUCCUCAUCAUUAAGAGAUACUGAUUGGAAGUGAAGUAUUUUGGGGAACUAAGUUCAUAUGUACAUUCUAAUUUACUUCCCUUAGUUACUUUGUAAUAGUACAUUUUUAGUAUUAAAUAAUGAUGUUUAUUAUAUUAUAGACUGGUAAGUCUAUGCGAUUACAA